AGCCAGCAGAAGAGCAACUGGGCA
rnacentral:piRNA from 1 species